rnacentral:rRNA from 1 species
AUUGAACGCUGGCGGAAUGCUUUACACAUGCAAGUCGAACGGUAGAGGGGGCAACCCCUUGAGAGUGGCGAACGGGUGAGUAAUAUAUCGGAACGUGCCCAGUCGUGGGGAUAACGUAGCGAAAGUUACGCUAAUACCGCAUACGAUCUAAGGAUGAAAGCGGGGGAUCGCAAGACCUCGCGCGAUUGGAGCGGCCGAUAUCAGAUUAGGUAGUUGGUGAGGUAAAGGCUCACCAAGCCAACGAUCUGUAGCUGGUCUGAGAGGACGACCAGCCACACUGGAACUGAGACACGGUCCAGACUCCUACGGGAGGCAGCAGUGGGGAAUUUUGGACAAUGGACGCAAGUCUGAUCCAGCCAUUCCGCGUGCAGGAUGAAGGCCCUCGGGUUGUAAACUGCUUUUGUACGGAACGAAACGGUGAGCUCUAAUACAGUUUGCUAAUGACGGUACCGUAAGAAUAAGCACCGGCUAACUACGUGCCAGCAGCCGCGGUAAUGUG